CGGCCCUGCCAUUGGGGGUCGAAAGGUCGGUUUUGCCCUUUCUUUGCACCCACAAGUGUGAUGCGCAUAAACAGAUGGAUCUGGAACUGAUCGAUCUGCAGUCUUCUGACUCUGCAACUCUGAUCGUGGAUCUUCGACAGCCCAUCAGCCUUCUCUCCGUCGAUACCGCGAAGGUGAAGUUUCAAUUUCAUCCGAGUAAUCAAUCCUCGCUUUGCUUCCGUCUCCAGAUUUUUCACUCAUAUUCAGCCUGAAGAAGAUCUCAAGUCCCUGUUUGCGUCCUUGGCUGCUCAGUCACACAACGACGGCCAAUUCAUCUAUCCUUCGGUUUUUCAGGUCAAUUGCUUUACUUCCUUUCCUUUUGUUCUGGGCAUGUUUAAUUUUAUCGGUUUCAUUGAUUUCUGAGCUGAGUUGGACAGAGAGUGGGGGUUGAUUGGUUCGAUUAGGUUUUGGGUGUCCGCUAUUUGGUUUUUCUGAGGAAUUUGUAUUUGAUUGAUUGCAGAUAGCGGUUCUUCUCUUCUUCUUUUCUGUGUUGCAAGUGUAGUAGCUACCUCUGUCUUUGAAAUAGAUGUUGUGCUUGAAACAGAUCUUAUCUUUUCAAGUUACACAAGUCAACUUGAACAUGAGCUGUAUAAUUUGAGAAUUUAAAUGGACAUCACACUCGAGUUUAUGCACAACAUCUUCCAUAGUUUGAACUUGAUAAAUGAAAUCUGCAGUAAAUGUCUGAGUUUGGUUAUUUGCAUUUUUAGUGGAAUUAAAAAUUUAAGCAUAACAUACAGCUAACAUUACCAUUGUCAUAUGCUAGGAAUUUAAAAUAGAUGAAGAAGAAGGAAAAAAAAAAAUAAUAAGAAGAAAAAAAAAAGGAAAGAAACGGGUCUGUACACUAGACUGGAUUGCAACCUUUUUGCUGGGCCAUUGUUUUUUAUUUCUGAGCUUUGGUUGUUGAUCUAGAGCGUGAACAGUGUUAUUUGGUGUGAGCUUGAGAAAUCUGUGACUCUCUGUGUUAUUAGAACCAGUGAGAACUUGAUUGCAAUCAAGGAUAUAUGUAGAUGGACUUCAAUCUUAAAAUUUCAAUUGUUUUCUGUAGCGUAGUUGAACUUGGAUGGCUUUUCUGGGUUGUUGUUUUUAUUGGAUUGCAGUAUUUAGAGGAGCUAAAAAUUUCACCUUUUUGUCGAGUUUCUAAUUCCUUUCAUUGCUUGAUAACCUAUGUCUAUACGCUUUUUUGUUUGUUUUAUUUGAAUCGGAAGAGAUUUUAAAACCGAUGACAUUGUCUGUGGCCCAAAGAUGAUACUGCUCAAAAUUGCAAAGUUUGAGCGUUUCUCAGUAAUGGAUUUGUCAUAUUGUAUAUAAAUGUGUGACUUGAUCGAUUUGAGAUUCUUAAUGGCAGGUCCCUCUAUGUAUUUUGGUUUGAGAUAACAUGACUAUUCACUUCUGCUUCCUUCUAAUUGGUUUGAGAUAACAUGUCUAAUCACUUCUGCUUCCUUUUAAUUGGUUUGAGAUAAUGCAGUGAGUCAUUUAGCUGGUAUUCCUUGAGCUGCAACUUUUGAAUUGUCAUAAACAUUAAUUGGAGGAAUUGGUUUGGGUUUGUUUUCGGGUGUUAUUUAAUGAAAGCCAAUUAAGAAACCAGCCUUAUGAUAAAUUUAGAUCGACUAUUUUUGUAUCUUGCAUUAUUUACUAUACAACUAAGUUUAGACAAUUAAGUCUUCUGAAUUUUGAUCAAUACGACUAAAUGGAUCAAAUAUAUUUAAAAUGUUGAUAUAUUUGUUAGUUUAUGAUCAUUACAGAACCCCCAAGAUAUUGUUUUCUUUGUUUUUUCAAUAUAACAGUAUGUGUUCUUUAACGGAAAGUACAUAUAACUUUUAGUUACUAAUAUUCAGAACUGAGAAACUUAGUCUUUUAUUACUGCCGAUUCAAAAUUUAAUGUAGUAACAGCAAUAUGCAGAUUAUUUAAAACUAUUGACUAUGAGCAUAUUUAUAAACUUGCCAAAUGUUUAUGAUAAAAUUCUUUUGCCAAAUGUUUGUCAUCAGAGGUGAUCAACUUGGUAAUUCUCUUGCCUUUUCAAAUCGUAUGUGAACUGAUUAUUUAGUUGUAACACGUUUUAUCAAAAACAUUGAUCGAGCUUCUAGACAUGUUCAUAUUCAAGAACACCUCUUUGGUCAAAAUUGUAGACAUGUUCACAUUGGUCGUGUUACCUGUUUUGAAACAUUGUCUCCAACAUUCUUUUUGUUAUGGUCUUCAAUUAAUUGAAUUACUUAGUGAAUCCGUUAUAGUCUUUAGGAAUGUAAAUCUGGUCUCAUUAUUUAGCCAACAAUGUUUAAACGUUGAACAUUGGAGAUCAGGUCUCAUAGAGUCUAAUUAUUCAUGAUCAAUCAUUCCAUUUAUGCUUUGAUUUUUUUUUUACACUAUAAAUUCAUAUAAGCUCUCAUUAUAGACAUAGAAGAAUCAAUAGGCUAUUCUGCAUACCUCUUUGCAAUCAUCACUUAGCUCUUUGUAUCAAACUUUUAUUCGUUGUUUAGCAUCUGCUCUUCCCUUUUAAUCUUGGUCACAAAGAACUUGGGGCCAGCAAGAGGAAUUCCUUUUGAAUUUUUUCCCCCAGUUUUUUGUGAUUCACUGAAGCUUUAGAUAGUUGGUUUUUGUGGAUUUGUGGUUUAAUCACAGAUUCUUUUCAGGUGUUCAAAUUUGCAGUUUAUCGAUUUCCUAAGUUUUAGGCUUUCUUCUUUAGCAUUGUUUUGAUCGUUCAUUUGUCAAGGAGAGUUUCAAAUUGGAUUGGGGUUUGCAGAAGCCUCAAGGUUUCACCGAUUGCUUUUGAGCUUGAACCAGGUAACUAAUAGUUUGGAUCAACUCCAACUACAAUUGGAGCAACCACUUUUUUACACCUACUCCAGUUACGCUGGCUUAGAACUAAACCUUUUGUAAAGCUACAACUGAAGCAGCUAAACCUGUUGUACAACUAGCAUUUCUGAACCAACCUCAGUAGCAACUUUGUUAACCUAUUUUACUAACACACUUUCGUCACGUUAACUUUUUGUAUAAAAAAUCUUUCACUCUUUUCAAUAGAGCGGGUAUUGUAAUAUGAAAGCUUGCAAGUUUUAUAAUAUGAAUGCUUGAUGAACUUGAGUGAAAUCCGCUGUCUUGCUUCUACACUGCAAUUAAUUCUUCCUUCAUACAAUUUGACAAUGCCAACAAAUCAAGUUGAUAAAAUACCAAAUUUAUUUCCUGCUCAGUUCUUAAAAAUUUAAUAUCUAAUUUCAUCAAUUAAAUUUUCAACUUCCACAACUUUCAAGCUAAAUGUCAUGGAAGAAUCAAAUUGCAAUCAAUACUCCUGCCUCUCCAACAGUUCAACCAUACUCUGUACAUGCUCAAUUAUAUUCUUCUCCACAAAGAAACUCUACAAGCUCUACAAGAUACUCUACAACGGCAUAACUCCCGCAGCAACGCGCGGGCAAUUUUUCCUCGUAAUAUACAAAAGCCCGGUUACUGUUACUACUGUUCAUAAGGGACGGAAAAGACGAUUUAGUCGCUGUUUGCCAUUGGUGUCCGGCUCACCUUUUACAACUCCGAUCGUCUUCUUCAGCGGUUGCUGGGGUAGGAAAGAGAAGAGGAGAGAUCCAGGAUUGUGGUCGACCUGUGGAGGAAGGUUUGGGUUUGUUUUCUGAAUUUGGAUUUUGGUUUUUAUCACAAUGAUCGACAAGGGUGAAAAUUUGGGUUGUACUUUUGGUUUUUAAACUUGAAAUGUUUUUUUUUUUUUUUUUUUAUUGAAUUGUCCAUAGGUUCAUUUUGGUUUCUUCAUUUUCUAGUGUGCGGUGAGUCUAGAGGUUGUACGUAUUAAAAGGGUGGGGAUUUGGAGUGCAGACUCUGUUGUUAAGAAUCCUAAGUAAUUGUUUAUUUGCUGGUUUGCAAGUUCAGAAGUUUGGAGCUGGGCCAAUAUGUUUGUAGUUAAUUAUUAUAAUGUUUAGUAUUGAUUAAAGGUGUUUUGCUGUUAGAAUUGAUCGAAGGUCAACUCAGAUACUGCUCUGCAUAUAGCUUCAACUUAGUUAUCCAGUUUUGUUAACCAAAAUUGAUAAUUUAUUGUUUGUUGCUGUAAUGCUUAUUUUGUGUUUUGGUUCCACAAUCAACUUUCUCAUUCAUAUAACUUACUCUAAGACUUGUCAUGGAUCCUUAAUGCUAUCUGUGUAAUGCCGAAUGCCACAAAUUAAGAGCCAUCAAAGUGCCAUUAUCCAGUAAUUACCCCAGCAAUGUCAAGCACUCCUCUUGAUGCAAGGGUUAUAGUAUUCAGGUAAAUUAGCUAAGGUGACCACUGAUGCAUGUAGCUUUGAUUACAAGACACUACAUGUGUCAGAGACUAAUAGCUCAGGAAAAGCAUAGGUUUCAAGUCUAGACAAAACCCUCAGAAAUCAAAUGGCCAAAGAGAUAUGCAGUGAAAGUCCUUGCUAUUUUACCUUACAGAUUCUGAGCUAGAUAAAUCCAUCCCGAAGCCCACUUCCGCAGUCGGAAAGAGUCUUCCCGGUGUUGAGCUCUUGAAUAUGAAGUUUCUAGAUUGGUAUUUGAAGAUCGCAUUCGGGUCGGCUCUGAUUGGAGCUUCCAUGGAGUUUUUCAUGAUCAAAACCGGCUUCUAUGAUAAAGUAACAGUUCUGGAGUCUGAAAAACGGGCUUGGGAGAAUUCGCCAGAGGCUCAGGCAGUCAGAGAAUCUCUCAAUCCUUGGAGAAAUCGUGAUGUGGAAGCAAAGAAAGAAUCCUAAGUUGGAUGGCCUCGUUCUCAUAAGGAAGAAGAUAAUAUAUGCAGGAUAGUUUUUGAGAAAUACUUCCAAGUAGGACACAAGUGAGGGUGAUGUAGAUCAUCGAUCUAUCUGAGAAAAUAGAGUGUUCAUUGAAGAACUAACAUAUCUGUAACUUGGCUUUAAUGAACUUUUCUUUUUGUCUUUUUGCAUGACAUAGCAGUGAUUUAGAUCAUCGACUAUCUGAGAAAAUAUAAAUUUUAAUAUUCACCCAGAACCUCAAAA